UACGUAGGGGGCGAGCGUUAUCCGGAUUUAUUGGGCGUAAAGAGUUCGUAGGCGGUUUGUUAAGUCUAAAAUUCAAGCCCGAGGCUUAACCUCGGUUCGUUUUAGAAACUGGCAAACUUGAGUGUGGUAGAGGCAAGUGGAAUUUCUAGUGUAGCGGUUAAAUGCGUAGAUAUUAGAAGGAACACCAGUGGCGAAGGCGGCUUGCUGGGCCAUUACUGACGCUGAGGAACGAAAGCGUGGGGAGCAAAUAGG
rnacentral:rRNA from 1 species